rnacentral:lncRNA from 1 species
ACACAAUCAUUUCCUCUUAAUCUUUUCUAAAUCCCUCCAACGGAUUUUAGGCGACAGUUAAGUCGGGGAACUCUAGAAUACGCCCUCUUCUCUCGCGCCCUUGCACAAUUCCGGUUCCGUUCAACGAAUUGAUUUAGAAGGUGACGGUGGUUGCGAUGAGUUUGUAAGUUCAGCAAGAUCACUUUCUUCGAAAGGUGCAGGAAAGUUGAGAUCGAACGGAAAAUGAUAGGAAGGUUGUGUCGAUUGUGGUGAGUUUCGAAUUAUGGGUUGCACGACUGUCCUGUAUCUUUUCAUAUGACCACCUAGCGCUUGGCCAGAAAUGAAUUUAAUUCCAUAGACUGAGCAUGCGUAACCUUUUUCCUUUUUAAUAACGAUAUCACAGUCGCUAGAAAGAGGCAUUGAAGAUAAUCCCAUAACAUAAAAGAACUUCCCAGACUUAUAUCGAGAUUACAACCUUCGUUGUCGAUGAAUCUACUCAGAUUGAAGGUGUUGUGAGCAUACGGAUGAUAUGGUAUUGAUCCUGUCGUUGUUUUAGACUUCUUGUGCCGAUGAUCGUCUAGGGCUUGGAGAGUUAAAAAUCUUUUGUUGCAGGUCAUGCAUUCGUAUCUAUAGAUAUUUUCUAAUUUUGCUUUCCUAUUUUCUAUAAUCGAAUCAUCGCCGAUUGUUUCAUUUCUUGAAAAGAGCAUCUGAUUUUGGGCAUCUCCUCUCGUUUUCAAGAUUUUCAUCUUUGGUUGUUUGUGAAGGACAACAACACCUUCCAUUGACAACUCCUCAUCUUCUGUCAAAAAUAAUGACAUCGAAAUAUAGUGUUGGUUAGAAUAUUCUGGAUAAAUAUUCUUCCUCUAUGGAUUCAUCAUCGAAUCAGACUGGUCAUCUUUAUGCUGAUUGUGUUGAUUAUGUUGUUGAUGAUGAUGCCGUUGGUUACUACCAUUGUUUUCUUGAAGAUUAUCCAUGGGAUCAACAAGGUGUGUUGGGAUGUAUAUAUCGAUAUUAAAUAAGAAAUACGAUGAUCAAGAAGUCGGGUCAAUAGGAUAAUGAUAGGUUUAUUUCCCAAUGCGGUUGUCGAUUGCAGCCUAUUGUGUCCAGAAGAUCACCGGAAUGACCCAGAGAGUCAGCGAGUGUAAAAGAAGGCAGAAACAAGGGUUUCUUAACUUAACCUUUGGUGAAAUGAUUUGUUUCAAUGUAAUAAAUGUGUUUAGUUUCAAUGUAAUAAAUGUGUUUAGUUUCAAUGUAAUUGAAUUAAAUGAUAUUGUUUACAAAGUAGUUUAUUUAUAACACACUUAGCGCUAAUUACCAAUC